AAGUCGUAACAAGGUUUCAGUGGGUGAACCUGCGGAAGGAUCAUUAACACGUAUCCAACGUAAAAACAACCCCGUGAACCUUCAGACGUGCUCUCUUUAGCAAUCCUGGUAAAUCAUUGUCAAACAGAUUUUGAGUCAGGGACUUCUUGGAUAUGGAGCAUCACGCGGGCACCCUAGCAAUCUGACAGUGGUUGCGCAGGGUGGCGCAAUAAACGAUCGCUGGAGGCCCACGGCCGGCGGACGGGCUAACGACCCCAAUGUCUUGAAGCGGUGCGCUGUAACAACCGCACCACCAACCGAACAACUGUUAACAAUGGAUAUCUUGGUUCUC
rnacentral:misc_RNA from 1 species